AUGAGAAAGCCCAGGACGGGAAGGAGGAAGAAAAAAAAAAGCAAGAAUUGCUGUCUCCCAUCACUCCUUUUUUUUCCCCCCCUUGUCCAUGGCUGUCUAAGAAGACUUGCAGUGGCUGGGGAAAGUCCUAAAGAGGAACAGGAGAAAGAACGUAGGAUUUUGAGAAAAACAGCAGGUCCUGUGGUCACACCAGCAUGCUUCUCCAGACCUCAGGAGGCAACUAGCCUUAUUGCAUCAGGCAGGUCCAUGCACUGAGAAGCUGAUCUGCAGUGUUGGAAGUUUGUCAUAGGAGAUCGGAAGUGUCCUCAUCAACCACAAGGUGACCCUGGGCCUCAGAAUAUGGAUCACAUGAAGAAUGUAAGUUCAAAGUCCUUUAAAUAGUGGACAGAGAAGCAGAGUUGCAUCUGGCCACCAUUCUCCCCCUUCUCUUUCCUCCACCCACAGUGGCCUCCUUCCCCUUUCAUGCAGCAUCAGUGUCCUUGUUUCCUUGGCUCAGUCUGUUCUCUGCUGGGAAUGACUUUCUAGUUCCAGACUCCUCUAACUCUUCUUGAAGAUCUACUCCUUAAUGAAAGAACUCGCCAAGAUAUUAAACAAAACAAGCAGGGCACACAAUUGUGGAUAGAAUACGCUUUCACUUGCACAGUGGAAAAAUACUCGCAUGUAUGCACACAGGAUAAUAAUGUUUUUAAAUUUAUCAAAUAUUUAAGAAAGGACAUACAAGACAUUAUAACAGUAUCUGACUCCAGAGGUAAGUGGGUGUUUCAAAGGCACAAAAGAAAGAAGACUCGCUUUGCCCCCAUCUCCUCUUUUGUAAACUUUUUUUUUUUUUUUUUUUUGUCUUUUUAGGGCUGCACCCACAGCAUACAGAGGUUCCCAGGCUAGGGAUCUAAUCAGAGCUGUUGCCGCUGGCCUACGCCACAGCAACAGCAGAUCCAAGCCUCGUCUGUGACCUACACCACAGCUCACCGCAAUGCCAAAUCCUCAAACCACUGAGCGAGGCCAGGGAUCGAACCACAACCUCAUGAUUCCUAGUCAGAUUUGUUUCACUGUGCCAGGACAGGAACUUCCCCUUCUGUAAACUUUAACUUCUGUUCUGUGAGCAUAGAGAAGCUAUUCAAAAUUCGGCUUAAAAAUUAUUUUUAAAAAUAUUUAAACUCUGGUUCACAACUGCACUAAAGUUUUUUACAAGACGUUACCAUUUGGGAGAAACCAGAUGGAGUGUAUACCAGCUCUCUCUGUAUUAUUUCUUGCAACC
rnacentral:lncRNA from 1 species